rnacentral:rRNA from 1 species
GCAGCCGCGGUAAUUCCAGCUCCAAUAGCGUAUAUUAAAGUUGUUGCGGUUAAAAAGCUCGUAGUUGGAGUUCUGCCAGGUGCCGUCUGUCCGCCCCAGUGGUGAGUACGUGACGCGCAUUUGGCCCUUUCAAGGGGAGCGUAUCUGCACUUUACUGUGUGGUGCGGGAUCCUUGACUUUUACUUUGAGGAAAUAGGAGUGUUCCAAGCAGGCUCUCGUCGUGCACAGCUCAGCAUGGAAUAAUAGCAUUGGACCUCGAUUCUAAGCUGUUGGUUGCCAGAAGCGAGGUAAUGAUGAAGAGGGAUAGUUGGGGGCAUUCGUAUUUAACUGUCAGAGGUGAAAUUCUUGGACUUGUUAAAGACGGACUACUGCGAAAGCAUCUGCCAUGGAUGUUUUCAUUGAUCAAGAACGAAAGUUAGGGGAUCGAAGACGAUCAGAUACCGUCCUAGUCUUAACUAUAAACCAUGCCGGCUAGAGAUCGGAGGUUGUUCGUUUUGUGACGCCUUCAGCAUCUUGAGAGAAAUCAAAGCCUUUGGGUUCCGGGGGGAGUAUGGUCGCAAGGCUGAAACUUAAAGGAAUUGACGGAAGGGCACCACCAGGAGUGGAGCCUGCGGCUUAAUUUGACUCAACACGGGGAAACUUACCAGGUCCAGACUGGGUAAGGAUGUACAGAUUGAUAGCUCUUUACAGAUUCUCAGGGUGGUGGUGCAUGGCCGUUCUUAGUUGGUGGAGUGAUUUGUCUGGUUAAUUCCGUUAACGAACGAGACCUUAACCUGCUAAAUAGCGUCGAGUUUCUUCUUGAAACGAAGAUGUCUUCUUAGAGGGACGUCGCGUGUCUAACGCGAGGAGGUGUGAGGCAAUAACAGGUCUG